rnacentral:rRNA from 1 species
GAUGAACGCUGGCGGCGUGCCUAAUACAUGCAAGUCGAGCGAAUGGAUUAAGAGCUUGCUCUUAUGAAGUUAGCGGCGGACGGGUGAGUAACACGUGGGUAACCUGCCCAUAAGACUGGGAUAACUCCGGGAAACCGGGGCUAAUACCGGAUAACAUUUUGAACCGCAUGGUUCGAAAUUGAAAGGCGGCUUCGGCUGUCACUUAUGGAUGGACCCGGGUCGCAUUAGCUAGUUGGUGAGGUAACGGCUCACCAAGGCAACGAUGCGUAGCCGACCUGGGAGGGUGAUCGGCCACACUGGGACUGAGACACGCCCCAGACUCCUACGGGAGGCAGCAGUAGGGAAUCUUCCGCAAUGGACGAAAGUCUGACGGAGCAACGCCGCGUGAGUGAUGAAGGCUUUCGGGUCGUAAAACUCUGUUGUUAGGGAAGAACAAGUGCUAGUUGAAUAAGCUGGCACCUUGACGGUACCUAACCAGAAAGCCACGGCUAACUACGUGCCAGCCGCCGCAGUAA